GACGUAGGGCGCGAGCGUUGUCCGGAUUUAUUGGGCGUAAAGAGCUCGUAGGCGGCUUGUUGCGUCGACCGUGAAAACCCGCGGCUUAACUGUGGGCUUGCGGUCGAUACGGGCGGGCUGGAGUUCGGUAGGGGAGACUGGAAUUCCUGGUGUAGCGGUGAAAUGCGCAGAUAUCAGGAGGAACACCGGUGGCGAAGGCGGGUCUCUGGGCCGAUACUGACGCUGAGGCACGAAAGUGUGGGGAUCAAACAGG
rnacentral:rRNA from 1 species